rnacentral:tRNA from 1 species
AUCGCCAUGAGCGCCAUCGUGACGGCGUACUGCUCGUCGUCGCCGACCAUCUGCUCGUUCGAGACGAGCGUGGUGAUGC